AUGCUCUUCUGUGACUGUAUCGUGCUGGUGACCUGUUUCAUCCUCACCUUCUUUGCCCUCUGUGCAGCCUCCAUGCUACUCCUCCUAAGACUGAGUCGGAGGCCUCCUUGGACGGAGACGACCCCCGGGGUGGCGCCAAGCCCGGCCAGUUCCACAUCCACGUGGUUGGGGAGGAGAGCAAGAGAAGACUGCCGAGAUGGACUCCCGAGGAAGAAACUGUUUCUUCAGGCUACUUCCAACCUAUUUUUUUUUUUUUUUAGCAGUUUUCAUAUUAUUAAACUGUAGAAAAUGCUACAAUAAUUUGGGAGAAAAUAUUGUGUUAGAAUCUCAUAUUAACUUUUAUAUACACUUUUUCUGAGUUGACAUGUUUCUUUUCACUAUCCUUGUAUCUGUCCAUAACAGCUAUAUUCAUAAGACAAUAUGCACAUGAAACUUAUCAUUUUAUAAAGUAAAAAUGAAAACGCCUCCAAGAUUUUAUAAUCUGAUCAAGUUUUUGUUAUUUACAGAUAGAAUGGACUGGAUCUAUUAAGGGCUGAAGAGAAGAGAGGGAGAUUGGGAAAAACUAUCAGCAACCAAAAUUCUAAAAAGAAAUGCAAAACAAAAAAUUUUUGUCGAGCCUUCACUUAUUUAAAGAAACAAAAUAGCUUCCUAAAUAUAUAUCAUUUGUGAGAAGUUAAAAUUAAUACCCUGAAUAAUUCAUUGUUUUUGCUAAGCUUCACGUUGACUUUACAUGCCAUUUAGUAAAUGAUUGCUUCACAGCCAAAAUUUGUUGCAGUGGUAAGGCCUUCUUAAGCAGUAAAAUGUUUAGAUGAAGUUUUCUCUUUUAAAAUUCCUACAGGGUGAGGAUGUAGGAAAAUGCUAUAUUAAUAAAUAAAUCUGCACUGUUUUGUGUCUAUAUGUUUAGAACCAAAGCAGAAGGCUGGGUUGAAAGAUGGACUGAGUCUGAUUCAUCAUGACUGAUAGUCUUGAUUAGGUUGUGUAGUGAAGCAUUACAAGGGCCAUUCCCAUCACAGAAGUGCUAUUAAAACCGCACUAAAAAUAAGAAGAAAUGGCUUGUUUUCUGUUUUGUUUUGUUUUUCAUCUCAGGCCUACCUUGGUUGUAUCAUAUAGACACAGCUUCUGGUAGAUUGCAACUGCAAGCAACAUAGUUAAAAAUCUGUGUUGUUUUGUUUGUUUGUUUUUGAAACUGAUUUAAAAUGUCUGAUGUAAAACAUGCAACAAAGAUAUGUUUCUCUGAAUGGCAUCUAUUUGAUACAUCAGAUGGAUUAUUACAAUUUUUUACCAUUUGUACUUACAUAAUGAAAAUGAACUCAUUUUUAUAUAUCAAAUUACUGUUCUGUAAGUUGUAGAAUAAGCAAUUGAAGUUUUAAUUAUUAUUUUCCCAAUAAAUGAGAUAUUCUAAAAAAAAGAGUUUGCAUAGUUGCAUUUCCCUUUGCAACCAGAUAUAUUUUAUGGGUUGAUAUUUUACAACCAUACAAUUAUCCUGCUCUCUGUCAUCAUUUCACUUAGUAGUUUCAGUGUUCGCAGUUGAUCUUUGCAUUAAUAAGUUAUUUUAUGAGGGUUGCAAGACUCAAUCUCUUUUGAUGAAUAUUCAGUCUUUCAAACAUUUCACCCCUCACAAAAAUAUUCACAUUUUCCCCCCAAAGUGAUAGUUAGGUGCAUGAGAGAGUUUUCCAUGUGCUUGA
ensembl:lncRNA